GAUAUCAAUGAAUGUGAAGAAUUGAUUUCUCCUUGUCCACAACAGUGUCUCAACAUACCAGGUUCCUUUAUUUGCUCAGAGUCCUCUUCGCUGUCUGCUGUCUCUGUUGUCACUGCCGUGAUCGUGGUGAUUGGUGGUGUUGCUGUGCUGGUGAUGAUCAUGAUCUGUUAUCGAAGAUAUUUCCCCAAGACAGAAGAGUUGGUCACCGCGGAAUGUUGCCAGGGGAAAAGUUAAUCACACCAGUUAAGUCAACUUUUCUUGUAAUGUUCUUGUUCUAUGAAAGUUAUCUUAAUGUCUUUUUAUUGUAUUUAACUGACUGUAACAGUAGAAUUUUUGUGAUGUUAAUUUAUAAGAACUAUAUUACGCUAAGGCUGAACAACUCAAUGUUACAUAACUGCUGCUGUUGUUGACCGCUGAUGAAGACAACUAGACUGUUUCUACAUAUAGACCAUGACUUGAUCACGUGCAAUCAUGUUUUGCCUCCUAACUACACGUUACAACAGCAGCCAGGCUG
ensembl:lncRNA